UUCAAUUUGCUGAGCAGCACCAUGGACCAGAUGAGCAGCCGCGCGGCCUCGGCCAGCCCGUACACCCCAGAGCACACCGCCAGCGUGCCCACCCACUCACCCUACGCGCAGCCCAGCUCCACCUUCGACACCAUGUCGCCCGCGCCUGUCAUUCCCUCCAACACACGACUAUCCCGGACCCACCACUUCGAGGUCACUUUCCAGCAGUCCAGCACGGCCAAGUCAGCCACCUGGACGUACUCUCCACUCUUGAAGAAACUCUACUGCCAGAUCGCCAAGACGUGCCCCAUCCAGAUCAAGGUGUCCACCCCACCACCCCCCGGGCACCGCCAUCCGGGCCAUGCCUGUCUACAAGAAGGCGGAGCACGUGACCGACAUCGUGAGCGCUGCCCCAACCACGAGCUCGGGAGAGACUUCAACGAAGGUGAGGUCUGCCCAGCCAGCCACCUCAUCCGUGUGGAAGGCAAUAAUCUCUCGCAGUAUGUGGACGACCCUGUCACCGGCAGGCAGAGCGUCGUGGUGCCCUAUGAACCCCCUCUCCCUGCUCCCCCCGUUGUGCAGGUGGGGACAGAAUUCACCACCAUCCUGUACAAACUUCAUGUGUAACAGCAGCUGUGGGGGGGCAUGAACCGACGGCCCAUCCUCAUCAUCAUCACCCUGGAGACGCGGGAUGGGCAGGUGCUGGGCCGCCGGUCCUUUGAGGGCCGCAUCUGCGCCUGUCCUGGCCGCGACCGAAAAGCCGAUGAGGACCACUACCGGGAGCAGCAGGCCUUGAAUGAGAGCUCUACCAAGAACGGGGCUGCCAGCAAGCGCGCCUUCAAGCAGAGCCCCCCUGCCGUCCCCGCCCUGGGUCCCGGCGUGAAGAAGCGGCGGCACGGAGACGAGGACACGUACUACCUGCAGGUGCGAGGCCGGGAGAACUUCGAGAUCCUGAUGAAGCUGAAGGAGAGCCUGGAGCUGAUGGAGUUGGUGCCGCAGCCGCGGGUGGACUCCUAUCGGCAGCAGCAGCAGCUCCUACAGAGGCCGAGUCACCUACAGUCCCCAUCCUACGGGCCGGUCCUCUCGCCCAUGAACAAGGUGCACGGGGGCAUGAACAAGCUGCCCUCCGUCAAUCAGCUGGUGGGCCAGCCUCCCCCGCACAGCUCGGCAGCUACACCCAACCUGGGGCCUGUGGGCCCUGGGAUGCUCAACAACCAUGGCCACGCAGUGCCAGCCAACGGCGAGAUGAGCAGCAGCCACGGCGCCCAGUCCAUGGUCUCGGGGUCCCACUGCACUCCGCCACCCCCCUACCACGCCGACCCCAGCCUCGUCAGUUUUUUAACAGGAUUGGGGUGUCCAAACUGCAUCGAGUAUUUCACGUCCCAAGGGUUACAGAGCAUUUACCACCUGCAGAACCUGACCAUCGAGGACCUGGGGGCCCUGAAGAUCCCCGAGCAGUACCGCAUGACCAUCUGGCGGGGCCUGCAGGACCUGAAGCAGGGCCACGACUGCGGCGCCGCGCAGCAGCUGCUCCGCUCCAGCAACGCGGCCGCCAUCUCCAUCGGCGGCUCCGGGGAGCUGCAGCGCCAGCGGGUCAUGGAGGCCGUGCACUUCCGCGUGCGCCACACCAUCACCAUCCCCAACCGCGGCGGCCCCGGCGCCGGCCCCGACGAGUGGGCGGACUUCGGCUUCGACCUGCCCGACUGCAAGGCCCGCAAGCAGCCCAUCAAGGAGGAGUUCACGGAGGCCGAGAUCCACUGAGGGCCCGGCCCGGCCAGGGCUUGUGCCACCGCCCAGAGACCCAGGCCGCCGCCUCUCUCCUUUCUGUGCCCAAAACUGCCUCUGGGCGCAGGGCCUCCAGGCUGUGCCCCGGGAAAGGCAAGGUCCGGCCCAUGCCCAGGCACCUCACCCGCCCCAGGAGAGGCCCAGCCACCAGAGCCGCCUGCGGACAGCCUGAGUCACCUGCAGAACCUUCUGGAGCUGCCCUAGCGCUGGGCUUGCGGGGCAGGGGCCGGCCCACUCUCAGCCCUGCCACUGCCGCGCGUGCUCCAUGGCAGGCGUGGGUGAGGACCGCAGUGUCGGCUCUGACCUCCUCCAGGCCUCAUCCUAGAGACGCUGUCACCUGCCGACCAAGAAGGUCCUUCCAGAGGAAAGAAUCCUCUUCUCUGGUGGACUGCCAAAAAGUAUUUUGCCACAUCUUCGGUUCUGGAGCGUGGUGGGCAGCCAAGCGACUGUGUCUGAAACACCACGUACUUUCAGGGAAUGUCCCUAACUGCCUCUUGCCUGUGCCGGGGGCUGGGGACUCUCUCUGCUGGACUUGGGAGUGGCCUUUGGCCCCAGCACACUGUAUUCUGCAGGAUUGCCUCCUUCCUGCCCCUAACAACAACCAAAGUGUUGCUGAAAUUGGAGAAAACUGGGGAAGGCGCAACCCCUCCCAGGUGUGGGAAGCAUCUGGUACCGCCUCAGCCAGUGCCCCUCAGCCUGGCCACAGUCGCCUCUCCUUGGGGACCGCUGGGCAGAAAGGGACAGCCUGUCCUUAGAGGACCGGAAAUUGUCAAUAUUUGAUAAAAUGAUACCCUUUUCUACACAGUGGGUCAGCUUUUUUUUUUUUUUUUUUUAAACUUCCUUCCUCAACAUUCGCUUUCCAGCUCAACCUAGCGCCCAUGAGCCGGGCUGCCGAAGCUGAGUGAGAAGCCAGGUGGGCGGGACUUGUCCCCAGGAAGGCCGGGUGGGGAGGAAGCCUAGAGGGAACACUGGGAAGGGCAAGUUCACAGGAACGCUCUGCCGUGGGAGCAGCUCCUCCCUUGCCGCCGCCACCUUCUCUACCACUGCGAGGUCCAGAGGGCAAUACUUUCUCUUCCAAGCAGCGGCAGUCAGGGAACAGACUGAGAGGUAGGUGCGGGGGGGGGUCUAGGCCUUCGUGGAGCACCCCAGGGAGUUAGUGGGCCCCAGAGAGGCAGUGUCUGCACAGGCCCCUACUGGGGCCACCUCCAUCCACGAGGAGCAGCCUGAGCCUUGGUGGCUGGAGCUUGACGGUCCCGGAGCACAGUUCCAGGGCAAGGAACCAGAGCCCCCAGGGAGCCUCACAGGUGUGACAACGCCUUUCAUUCCAGGCAGGUGGGCCAAUGGAGAGUAGUGAGCAGCCAAGUGACUGUGUCUGAAACACCAUGUAUUUUCAGGGAAUGUCCCUAACUGCACCUUGCCUGUGCCGGGGGCUGGCGACGCUCUCUGCUGGACUUCGGAGUGGCCUCUGUUCCCAGCACACUGUAUUCUGCAGGACCGCCUCACUCACAUAAGCUGAGACACCACCCAGAGUGCAGGCUGCCUGGCCCCUUCUGAGACAGCUAGCUCCACACCCCCUGCCUAGGGUAUGUGUGGCAUCAGUUCCUAAGAGCUAGGAGCUUCCCCCACUAACAUCUCCCAGAAGCAGUUAAGCCCCCCAGGGCACGGCAAGGUUAGACACAGCCCCCAUCCCCAGAUCAGGACUCCAUCUUGCUAAGUGGCAUCACCGUCACCAGCCUCCCCUUAUUUAAAAGCAGUGACUGGUGUUGCCACAGGUGCCUGGUCUACGAAGACGCAGGCAUCCCUCUCCCACACUGUCCACCUCCCCGGGGGCCACUGACAGCACAGCUGCCUGGGUGCAUGUUUGUGGGGGCAGCAAGAACGGGGCUGCUGGCUGUCAGGGGAUCUGGCUGCAGCCAGGGCGAGAGCCUGGCCCUUCCUUCUAGCUCCUUCUAGCCGAAGGGCAGGCUCUGGCUGCUCAGCUUCUAGGGUUCCAUCUCCCUAGAAAGGUGCCCACACCCAGGGCAUCCGUCAGUAGGGGCAACAGCAGCGGACUCAGGGCUUUCCCAGGGUGGCGCAGCCACCCCAGCUGCAUGUCACCUCAACUCUCCAUCUUAUUGCCAUUUCGUAGAUGAGGAAGCUGAGGCCAGAAAGGCUAAGACCCGUGCCCCAGGCAUCACGCCCAUCUCUUGGGGGCUGAGCACUGCUACCCGAGUCCACCUCCUGAAGCCCCACUCUGCCCCAUGCUCCACUUCUAGAGCCGCAGGGGCCCAUCCCAACACUCGGGGUUCCCGAGCCCGGCACGGAUGCGCUUCAGUUCCAGGGGGUUGUUGAUUUGUUUCUUAGGCAUGUUCCCUGUCCACCCUGAGUCCAGUGAGGCUGUCCUAAGAGCCCCUGUAGUGUGCUGCUGGGGUGGGGCGGGUGGCACAGAGCAGGGACAGGCCCAGAGGCAGCUGUCACUGGAACCCCAGCCAGACGUCCAAGGAAGCCGGUCAGAACACGGAGCAGCCAGAUGGCCCCAGCCGCACCUGUACAGCAAGCCCGCACAGCCUCCUUGCGCUGGAGAAGCAGUUGUCAAAGUAAAUAGAGUCGAGACUUUGCUGUGGUUAGGAGAAAGUGCAAAUUCCCAGGAACAAGAAUCCUUUAAGCGAUGUUUUUUAUACAACCAAACAAAUCAACAAAUAAAUCUUGAAGACAGAUGGUUUUCCCAGCAGUGCAGGGGUAGGAGGGAGGCUGCUGGCACUCCUGGAGCCGAGGGGGACGGGCAGUGGUCCUGAGUCUGCUCAGAGAGGCCAGGCAGAAGGAGCUCACCAGGCAGGUCAGCUCACGUCUGUCCGAGUCACUCUGGUCAGAAACAGCGACUCUCCCCCAUUCCCCCAGUGUUCCCACCAGGCCUGGGCUGCUGGGAAGCCCUUGCUGUACCCAGGGGCCUGACUCACAGUAUCCUGGCACAGAGACACCUGUCACUCGGAACAGUCAGUGUCUCCAAAGCACAAACAUCCACUCCUCUGUUACCAGUUAAAGCACUUUAAUGCUUUAGGGUGGACACGCGACCCCAUCCGUGUGUCUGUGUGGGCUGGUGCUUCUCCGAGCAGUAUUAACGGACGCCCUCCAAUGACGUAACAACUGUUUUUGUUCAUGUAAUCUUGGGAAAAUGUGUUAUUUUUUUAGCUGUGUUUCGGUGGGGAUUUUUGUUUUUGUAACAUAAUAAAGUGUACGUUCCAAUGA